UACGUAGGGGGCAAGCGUUGUCCGGAUUUAUUGGGUUUAAAGGGUGCGUAGGCGGCCCUGUAAGUCAGUGGUGAAAUACUCUAGCUUAACUAGAGGGGUGCCAAUGAUACUGCAGGGCUUGAGUACAGAUGAGGUAGGCGGAAUUGACGGUGUAGCGGUGAAAUGCAUAGAUAUCGUCAAGAACACCGAUAGCGAAGGCAGCUUACUGGGCUGUAACUGACGCUGAUGCACGAAGGCUAGGGUAGCGAACGGG
rnacentral:rRNA from 1 species